rnacentral:rRNA from 1 species
GCAGCAAGGAAUUUUCCGCAAUGGGCGCAAGCCUGACGGAGCAACGCCGCGUGCGGGAUGACGCCUUUCGGGGUGUAAACCGCCGUUCGUGGGGACGAAGCACUGACGGUACCCACGGAGGAAGGCCCGGCUAACUACGUGCCAGCAGCCGCGGUAAUACGUAGGGGCCGAGCGUUGUCCGGAGUUACUGGGCGUAAAGCGUGCGCAGGCGGCGUAUCGCGCCCGGCGUGAAAGCCCCCGGCUCAACCGGGGAGGGUCGUCGGGGACGGGUACGCUUGAGGGCAGCAGGGGCUGGUUGAAUUCCCGGUGUAGUGGUGAAAUGCGUAGAGAUCGGGAGGAACACCUGUGGCGAGGGCGGCCAGCUGGGCUGCACCUGACGCUGAGGCACGAAGGCGUGGGGAGCGAACGGGAUUAGAUACCCCGGUAGUCCACGCAGUAAACGAUGCAGACUAGGCGUGGGGGGA